rnacentral:rRNA from 1 species
AGAGUUUGAUCCUGGCUCAGGACGAACGCUGGCGGCGUGCUUAACACAUGCAAGUCGAACGAAGCUUGAUUACGGAUUCUCCGGAUGAAGUAUGAUAUGACUGAGUGGCGGACGGGUGAGUAACGCGUGAGUAACCUGCCCUUCAGAGGGGGAUAGCGUUUGGAAACGAACGGUAAUACCGCAUAAUGUAUUUUGACCGCAUGAUCGAAAUACCAAAGAUUUAUCGCUGAAGGAUGGACUCGCGUCUGAUUAGGUAGUUGGUGGGGUAACGGCCUACCAAGCCGACGAUCAGUAGCCGGACUGAGAGGUUGAUCGGCCACAUUGGGACUGAGACACGGCCCAGACUCCUACGGGAGGCAGCAGUGGGGAAUAUUGCACAAUGGGCGCAAGCCUGAUGCAGCAACGCCGCGUGAAGGAAGACGGUUUUCGGAUUGUAAACUUCUGUUCUUAGUGAAGAAUAAUGACGGUAGCUAAGGAGCAAGCCACGGCUAACUACGUGCCAGCAGCCGCGGUAAUACGUAGGUGGCAAGCGUUGUCCGGAAUUACUGGGUGUAAAGGGAGCGCAGGCGGGUGAUCAAGUCAGCUGUGAAAACUACGGGCUUAACCCGUAGACUGCAGUUGAAACUGUUCAUCUUGAGUGAAGUAGAGGUUGGCGGAAUUCCGAGUGUAGCGGUGAAAUGCGUAGAUAUUCGGAGGAACACCGGUGGCGAAGGCGGCCAACUGGGCUUUAACUGACGCUGAGGCUCGAAAGUGUGGGGAGCAAACAGGAUUAGAUACCCUGGUAGUCCACACUGUAAACGAUGAUUGCUAGGUGUGGGGGGUCUGACCCCUUCCGUGCCGGAGCUAACGCAAUAAGCAAUCCACCUGGGGAGUACGACCGCAAGGUUGAAACUCAAAGGAAUUGACGGGGACCCGCACAAGCAGUGGAUUAUGUGGUUUAAUUCGAAGCAACGCGAAGAACCUUACCUGCUCUUGACAUCCCAUUCGAUAGAGGGUAAUGCCUCUAGCCCUUCGGGGGAAUGGAGACAGGUGGUGCAUGGUUGUCGUCAGCUCGUGUCGUGAGAUGUUGGGUUAAGUCCCGCAACGAGCGCAACCCUUAUUGUCAGUAGCCAGCAGGUGAAGCUGGGCACUCUGAUGAGACUGCCGGGGAUAACCCGGAGGAAGGUGGGGAUGACGUCAAAUCAUCAUGCCCCUUAUGAGCAGGGCUACACACGUGCUACAAUGGCGUAAACAGAGGGAAGCGAAGGAGUGAUCUGGAGCAAAUCUCAAAAAUAACG